UGAGCAAGACACUCUCAGGCAUUCACACA
rnacentral:piRNA from 1 species